rnacentral:rRNA from 1 species
UGGGGAAUUUUGCACAAUGGGGGAAACCCUGAUGCAGCGACGCCGCGUGAUUUAGAAGGCCUUCGGGUUGUAAAAAUCUUUUCUAUGGGAAGAAAAUGACAGUACCAUAGGAAUAAGGACCGGCUAAUUACGUGCCAGCAGCCGCGGUAAUACGUAAGGUCCGAGCGUUGUCCGGAAUCAUUGGGCGUAAAGGGUACGUAGGCGGGUAAGCAAGUUAGAAGUGAAAUCCUAUAGCUCAACUAUAGUAAGCUUUUAAAACUGCUCAUCUUGAGGUAUGGAAGGGAAAGUGGAAUUCCUAGUGUAGCGGUGAAAUGCGCAGAUAUUAGGAGGAAUACCGGUGGCGAAGGCGACUUGCUGGCCAGAACCUGACGCUGAGGUACGAAAGCGGGGGUAGCAAACAGG